rnacentral:rRNA from 1 species
AGCGAACGUUAGCGGCGGGCCUAACACAUGCAAGUCGAGCGAGAAAGUGGCUUCGGCCACGAGUAAAGCGGCGGACGGGUGAGUAACACGUAGGUAAUCUUCCCUUGAGCGGGGGACAACGAGCCGAAAGGCUCGCUAAUACCGCAUACGUUUCCAGAGGCCCCGGUCUCUGGAAGGAAAGCUAGGCCGCAAGGUCUGGCCCUCCAGGAGGAGCCGGCGUCGCAUCAGCUAGUUGGUGGGGUAACGGCCUACCAAGGCGAAGACGCGUAGCUGGUCUGAGAGGAUGAUCAGCCACACUGGGACUGAGACACGGCCCAGACUCCUACGGGAGGCAGCAGUGGGGAAUAUUGGACAAUGGGCGCAAGCCUGAUCCAGCCACGCCGCGUGAGUGAUGAAGGCCUUCGGGUCGUAAAGCUCUGUGGGGAGGGACGAACCGCUGCACGUUCAUAGCGUGCAGCAUGACGGUACCUCCUUAGCAAGCACCGGCUAACUUCGUGCCAGCCGCCGCCGUAA